rnacentral:rRNA from 1 species
AGUUGCUACGCAAGGGCACUCUAAUGAGACUGCCGGUGACAAACCGGAGGAAGGUGGGGAUGACGUCAGGUCAUCAUGGCCCUUAUGGGUAGGGCUACACACGUCAUACAAUGGCCGGUACAAAGGGCUGCCAACCCGCGAGGGGGAGCUAAUCUCAGAAAACCGGUCGUAGUCCGGAUCGCAGUCUGCAACUCGACUGCGUGAAAUCGGAAUCGCUAGUAAUCGCGGAUCAGCUUGCCGCGGUGAAUACUUUCCCGGGUCUUGUACACACCGCCCGUCACACCAUGGGAGCGGGUUCUGCCAGAAGUANUUAGCCUAACCGCAAGGAGGGCGAUUACCACGGCAGGGUUCGUGACUGGGGUGAAGUCCUAACAAGGUACCGUAUCGGAAGGUGCGGCUGGAUCA